AUUGAACGCUGGCGGCAUGCCUUACACAUGCAAGUCGAACGGUAACAGGUCUUCGGAUGCUGACGAGUGGCGAACGGGUGAGUAAUACAUCGGAACGUGCCUAGUAGUGGGGGAUAACUACUCGAAAGAGUGGCUAAUACCGCAUGAGAUCUACGGAUGAGAGCAGGGGAUCGCAAGACCUUGUGCUACUAGAGCGGCCGAUGGCAGAUUAGGUAGUUGGUGGGAUAAAAGCUUACCAAGCCGACGAUCUGUAGCUGGUCUGAGAGGACGGUCAGCCACACUGGGACUGAGACACGGCCCAGACUCCUACGGGAGGCAGCAGUGGGGAAUUUUGGCCAAGGGGCGCAAGCCUGAUCCAGCAAUGCCGCGUGCAGGAUGAAGGCCUUCGGGUUGUAAACUGCUUUUGUACGGAACGAAAAGCCCCGGGUUAAUACCCUGGGGUCAUGACGGUACCGUAAGAAUAAGCACCGGCUAACUACGUGCAGCCGCCGCCGUAA
rnacentral:rRNA from 1 species